CCUACGGGUGGCAGCAGUGGGGAAUAUUGCACAAUGGGGGAAACCCUGAUGCAGCGACGCCGCGUGGGUGAGGAAGUACUUCGGUAUGUAAAGCUCUAUCAGCAGGGAAGAAAAUGACGGUACCUGACUAAGAAGCCCCGGCUAACUACGUGCCAGCAGCCGCGGUAAUACGUAGGGGGCAAGCGUUAUCCGGAUUUACUGGGUGUAAAGGGAGCGUAGACGGCAUUGCAAGUCUGAUGUGAAAGGCUGGGGCUCAACCCCGGGACUGCAUUGGAAACUGGCAGGCUGGAGUGCAGGAGGGGCAAGCGGAAUUCCUAGUGUAGCGGUGAAAUGCGUAGAUAUUAGGAGGAACACCAGUGGCGAAGGCGGCUUGCUGGACGGUAACUGACGUUGAGGCUCGAAAGCGUGGGGAGCAAACAGGAUUAGAUACCCCGGUAGUC
rnacentral:rRNA from 1 species